rnacentral:rRNA from 1 species
UACGGGGGGGGCAAGCGUUGUUCGGAAUUACUGGGCGUAAAGGGCUCGUAGGUGGCCAACUAAGUCAGACGUGAAAUCCCUCGGCUUAACCGGGGAACUGCGUCUGAUACUGGAUGGCUUGAGUUCGGGAGAGGGAUGCGGAAUUCCAGGUGUAGCGGUGAAAUGCGUAGAUAUCUGGAGGAACACCGGUGGCGAAGGCGGAUCUCUGGGCCUUACCUGACGCUCAGGUGCGAAAGCUAGGGGAGCGAACAGG